GAAAAAAAAAAAUGUCCACAAAGAGGCUUCCUAUUUCUUGGGUUAAAAAACUCAAGUUAUUGCUUGUCCCAUAAGCAGGUCUUUAGCCUGGAUUAUAAUUUUAGAAAGCAAGCAAUUGAAUUACAAAGUUCAGGAGUCUUCAUACAAGCCGAGCUCAGCAGCCCAGCUUCAGAGAAAACAAGGCCCAGAAAGGAGAUGUGGUUUGCUUCAAAGUCACAGAACUAAGGGACAGCAGCCUCCCUGCCUCCCUGUCUCCUAAUUCUUCCACCAUUAAAAACCAAACAAGAGACAAUGGACAGCACAGACAAGCCUCAGUCACUGUCAGAGACGUUUCUCUUUCCUGUCCAGCACCCUUCACUCAGCCUGCUCAGUCUGUUGAAUAAGCGGACUCUUCAGCUUCUGCUCAGUUUGUAGGAUCUAGCAAAUGCCGUGGCCAUCAGACUCUGGCUCUUACUGUGCUGUGUGUUUCAAGACAUGUUUGCUGAUCUCUGUAAAGGAAUAUUCCUUCUGCUUAUUGCCUAGGAGACACACACAUGUACAUGCAUGUGCAUGUUCAUUCUUCUAUGGAAAAGUAAAACCUCUGAUACGUCUCUGGACUCCACAGUUGCCACAACUUUAUUUGAAGUCAAAGCCACCAUAGGCUUCAGCCUCCUGUGACCUCGACCCAGCACACAGGAAGCCAAAUAAAGAAUUUUGCUUCAUCUUCUUCAGACAUGACAAAGACCAAAAGAGAAGUUCUGCCUGUGUCACUUGGCUCCAUCCUCAUCAAAGUUUGCCUCCCACAGAAUUUUAAUAUUCCAUCACUGUACUAAUUAUUUGCCUUUUUAAGAUUCUUAGAUAGUGUGCGUGUAAUGUGCACAAAUGUGUCCAGACUUGCACACUAAUCCUCUCUUGCCCUUGCCGUCAGUAAUUGGGCUAAGUGUCAGGUGGAAGCUAAUUAGCGUCAAGGGCUAACCUUUAAAAACUCUCCCUGUUCAAUAUCUCUCUGAUGAAGACUUUGCAGUUAAACAUGGUUCUGCUAAUGGAAGAAAUUUAUUACUAAAAGAAUGUUAUCACACGCAUAUAGUCAUUGGUACAUGGUCUUUAGAUAGAGACAUGUAUUACGUUUUGUGUCCAUGGCUCCAAGAACAAAACUGAGAUGACAUCAGAUGUUCAAUAUUGUCCUCCCCCUUCCCAGGACUUUUGUGCAGUGGGUAUUUUUCUCACAUACACAUUCCUCUCUUCAGAUUAAGGGGAUACUUUUUUAAGUGUUGAGAUUUAGUAUUUCGUCUUCAGUCUUUGUAACGGCUCCUUAUAAAACCAUUGACAAGGCUACAACCACACCUUAGGCAUCUCAACCUCAAGCCAGAAGUCAGAAGUGUUUUAAGUAUAGCAGCAAGGGAACUCAGAACAUCCAGAUUCUUAAAUAUAUCAUAAAUAUCUAUUACAAAGAAUAUUACUCUUGGUAAGAAUGUCCUUUUCUUAGUGCAAGAUUUUUCUCUUCAUACUUAACCUACCCACAGUUGAUGAGGUUAUGCAUUGUACCUUAAUCUGGUUCUAUUAUGAUAGCCAUAAUUAAAAUGACUUUUCUCUGCAGUGCUCAAGGAAAAAGAUGAUUUUUUUUCCUCCUAACAACUAUAAAAACAUAAUAACAAAAUGAAUAUGGAAAAUUUGAAAUGAUAAUAUCUCUCCUAAUUCUCUCUUUUUAAAGGACAUAAAGGGUCAGUUUUAACACAAAGUAAUAAUUUUUGGGAAGCACAGAGCCACCUGGAGAACUGACUUAAAAUUCCUAGGUCUAAUUCAUACAUUCUGUUUUUUCAAUUUGGGAGUUGGGCUCAGGUUUGCACCUUCUACUAAUGCCAUAGGUUACCUGGACAUUAAUAGUCAGAACACAAAGCUUUAAAAAACACCAAUUUCCCUCAUUUUUUCCUUAUAUAAUACACAGCUCUCAGUCUUCCAACUCUAACUUUCUGUUAUCCACUAGCUAUUUAUGUAUACUACAUAGAUGACUCUAAGCCCAGUGGAAUUUAUGAGCUCUGCAUUUAAAUUCCAAGUCUUCUCUAAAAUGAAUUUAUUCAGAUAGAUUCAUAUAACACCACUAAUGGGCCAAAGGGGCAGAAACAUAUUUAUAGAUUUCACUCUGUGUUGCCAUAUUGCUUUCUCCUGGUGUUAAGGAAUUUAUAUUUAAAUCAACAGAUUAAGAGGACCAAUAUUUACCACAAUGUCACCAGCAAUGUAUAUUUGAAUUUAUUUUUACUUUGUUCUGCUAAGUUAGUCAGUGUAAAAUGGUAUCUCAAGGUGGAUUUAAUUUGCACUUUUUGCAUUUCUGGUGGAGAUCAAUAUGUUUCCUUGUACUUCUUUGCUAUUUAUAAGUUUCCCAGAAUUACAGUUAAACUUUUUAAUCUCUCUUGGGUUUAGGGCAAGGCUUAUUGCUUCUUUCUUUAAUGUUAAGACAACUGAUACUUAACAAAGACCAGACCAAAAGCCAUCAAGGGAACAGAGACUCAGGCUUAAUCCAUCAUUCAGGCCAGAUUACCUUGGUCUUAAGGCAAAAACCCCUGGGCGAAAAACAUGUAUGAAGAAAAGUAUUCCAAGUCAGAGUCCCUAGGGGAGGUUCUGAGACCAAGAUUUGUAUUCAGGGAAUUAUUGGGCAGGUCAAUGUCUGGAGGGACUUCAGCAUGCUGGGGCUGGCAGUGGGAAAUGCUCCACAUCUGCUAUGUCAGAGAUCGACCCAAGGAGCUUCAGGGGUUGAAUAACCUCUUUUCUGUCUUGUUUUGAAACAAACGUGUUCCUUCCCAAGCAUGUAGAAUAGCCAUUUGGUGUAACUGCUCAAGGGAAAGGAUUGUAAGGCAACUGUUAUCAGUGGAAUGUCACUUAGUCAGGGCACUCAGGUGAGAAUUUUCACACACCAGCAUCUACAAUCAGCUAUUUUCCAGCUGGGAAGACGAAAGCCUCGCACCCAAAGAGGGAAUCUAAGUGACGCACCAGUGGGUGCUCUGCAAAAGGAAUCUGCUCUUUAUUAAAACACUAUCUCUUCUUUAGUGUAUGUUCUUGUUUUACUUAUCUACUGAUCUAGUACAAACCAUUCCCAAAUUUAGCAGCUUAAAACAGCAAUAAUAAGUCAGAGAACGUGGAGGAGUGUUGUGAAAUGCUGUCUUCUGGAUGUGAAUUAGCCAUUGUACUCAUGAACUCACUGCAGCUAUAGUUACCAGUACAAGACCUGCACAAGAUCAAGCCAACAAGAUCAGUCAGCAUUACAGCAGGCAACAUUAAUUGGACUUACUGGGUUACCAAAAAAUAAAGGAGAGGACAUGAAGUGGAGAUGGGGAUGUAUUGGCAUGCUUGGGGGGAAUGGAAGGAUGGGAGUACAUAUGAUCAAGAUGCAUUGUUUAUCUGUAUAAAAUUAUCAAAGGAAAAAAUACAUAAUAAUCUAUUAAA